AAAAUCCCAGAAUUUUGCCUCCAAGAUGUUUUCUCCUAGCUUCUUCGUGAUCCAUAAUACCUCCACUUGUCGUUAAAACCACGUAACUGUUAAAGAAGAAAACAAACAACAUUUAAAAAGGGGUGGUUUUCUCUUAAAACUUGUUAAAAGUAUGUGAGGGAACAAAAAAAUGGACAAAAGAUAUUAAAUCAGAGGUUACAGAUCUAUCCAAGAUUGAAAAUAGCGAAACAUAUUGUAAAGAUUUAGUUAAAGCAGUGUAUAAUAUAGAGCUAAGAAGAGAAUAUUAAUUAAGGUAGAAAUAGUUUCAAUCAAAUAAAUGUUUAAAUAUAACUUUAAAUAUUUAAAAAAAUAUUGAUUCAUCUGAAAUUAUUAAAACUUACAGAAGUCUAUAUUUAAAAUUAAUUGUAAUUUUAUUUCUUACCCAAACUGUCGACUCGGUAAUAAAUUAUUGGUCCACUUCUCAAUAUCUGUAAUUGGAACAUCGAAUCUAGGAGAAAUAACUCCACACUUGUUCAGUCUU